ACCGGAGAGGGAACCCACU
rnacentral:misc_RNA from 1 species